rnacentral:tRNA from 1 species
GCUCUCGUAGCCCAAUUGGAAGAGGCACAGGUUUUAGGUACCUGUCAGUGCGGGUUCGAAUCCCUCCGAGAGCACGA